rnacentral:lncRNA from 1 species
GACAGGAUGGGGGAGAGUGAAAAAGGGGGCUCAGGUUAUAGGCAUCCUUGAGCUGGUUUUUAAAAAUCUCUUUGGUUUUGGUAGAAACUAGUGUUAGGACAGGAGGAAUCACCAAGCACCAUCAAAGAGAUGAUGGGGAACAGUGGUUAAAGGAAGCACAGUCGACUCCUGCGGGCACCCACACCUAGUGAGAGACUGAGCCUUGUUCACUUUAAAGCAGAGGUUCAACCAUGCAGACAGGGAGGAGGACCAGGUGGGAAUCAAGUAGGAAAGAGGAGAGGCUAUUAAAAAAAUUCAUCUUAGGAAAACCACACACAGUUAAGAAACCAUACAACAUGGAACAUGUUACGUGUCACAAACAGAAAAGGCACAGAAAGGAGAGACGGUUGGAUGAGUUGGGAUGAGAGAGACACAUGAGGGCCAAACAGAACGGGAACAUCAAACCAAAGGCAGCAAAGCAAACCAAAGCCAACCCAGGGCUUUCUGAGGUGCAGAGCAGAGGCAGCCAGAAAGCACAUGGGAGCUGGCGGACAGAUGACAUUCGGGGGCGGGCUGCAUGCCACGGGGAGGCCGGGAGCCACAUGGCACACACAGACAGACACACGGCUACACUUGGAAGCCUGGACAAUGUGAACGGAGGUCGUUUGUACCCAGCGUUUCUUUCCUUCAUGCAUUUGGGAGGUAAACACUCGAGUAUAGACUCAAAGCCCUGGCCGGCCAGUUAUUGGAGCUUGCUUUGGGGUCUCUUAUUU